CUUGAGCCAAGCCCAACUCCCUGCAUGUAUUGAAAUUUUGAUCUGAUGCUUCUUAAGCUACAUGUCUUGGGCAUAGAUUAGACCUCCUUCGAUGUAGUUACAUUAGCAGUCUAGCCCACUGGAUUGGUAUUUUUCUGACCUCAUAAAUGAAUGCAGAUUUCAUGAUCUUUGGCGCCUGAAUAUGUGCACGCGCGCAUGCAUGGACACUCGGAAGUCAAGGCCUGUAGGCCUCUCUUCGCAAAGCCUGAUUUGAUCCAUCCUUAAAUACUUUUAAUUAUGUUUAACCUCUGAUCACAAGC
rnacentral:lncRNA from 1 species